UAUGAAGAUAAUACUACUUUCACCUGUUUUGAGGUUUACCGCUCCAUGCUUUAAAUCGUUAUCUACUAAGAUACUAGAAUCCUACAGCUAAAGUUAACAGAGCCAAAAUUUUACUUUGACUGAACACACAUGUAUUUUUGUUUAUAUGAAUCAAAACUAUGACUAUCAUCCAAAGUUAUCAAUUACCGCCAAAUUUUCAAUGGAAUAAGUGUAGGCUCAUCAUUAUAUGUGUUGUAACUAGGGUUGCCAACUAUACUGUUUAAACAGUAUUAUACUGUUUUUCACUAAAUUAUACUUUUUACUGUUUUACAAAAAAAAAGUAUACAAAAAUACUGUUUUCAGCAUCGAAGCAGACGCUCAAAAAUUUUUUUUGUCAGACAGAGGGCGCUCACUGCGCGCUCACUGCUGCAGCUAAAAACAAAUCAAAUCACACUAAGUUUCUGAACGAAUCUGUCACUGUCAGUGUGCCUACUGUCACUGUCAGUGACAAAUAUUCAAGACUGUCAGUGUCAUGUCAUUCGUGUAUGUUACAAUUACUACUACGUUAAGUUCGUUAUCAAUAUUUAACCGUUUUUUUUGUGUGGAGUGAACCCUGUAGUGAUAAGCUUAGUGUACAAAAGAUGGAAAGUGAUAGUGACACUACUCCUACAACGCCAAGAAAGAAAGCCAAACUAUCGAAGGUAAAGCAAAAAUAUAAGCACGAAUGGGAAUGCCAAUAUGACUGGUUAACGAGUGAUCCACUGUGCGAAUAUAAUGCUAAAUGCAAAAUGUGUGCUUUAACAUUUACAAUUUCUCACGCAGGUGUUGGGCAGGUUAAACAACACUUGACCAGCAAAAAACACCAAGCAAAAAUGGAAAUGAGAAAAUCUAGUGGAUUGUUACAAAAGUUUUUUCCUAAAACUUCUGCUUCUACAUCAGGCUUGUCUUCUAAUGAAGAUACCAAGUUAGCAGCGGCUGAGUUAGCGAUGACAUACCAUACUGUCAAGCAUAAUUUAUCAUACAAUAGCCAGGACUGUAGUAUCAAAUUAAAUAAGAUUAUCUAUGUUGAUUCCAAAACAGCCACUAACUUACGAUUGGCUAGGACAAAAAUGGAGGCAUUAGUGACCGAAGUUCUUGGCCCACAUUCCUUGCAGUCUGUUAUUGAUCAGUUAAAUAAAGACAAUGUAUUUUACUGUCUGCAAACUGAUGCCUCCAAUAAAAAAAAUAUUAAAUUGUUUC